GAAAACCUACUCACAAAUUUAUUCUGCUUAUCUUUAAAACUUGUAUGUUUCAGACUAAUUGAAGCCUCACAGCAGUAUAGGGUAGGGACGUAGUUUAAAAUUUUUUAAUUGCCAGAUCUUUUACAUAUCUCAGUUGAUCCCAAAAACUUUGGGGAAGAUUAUUGCCAGCUUGCCAGCUAAACAGAUAAACACCUCUUCUCUGCUCAUCAGACCCAUGUAACUUCUCAAGAGUCUACUUUAACCACCUUAUUUAAAAUUGCAACUCACUCUACAUUUUUCCUGACUCUUAAUUCCCCUCCUCCUUUUCCCCGAUAGCAUGACUACUUUCUAAUCUAUUAUAUAUUUCGCUUACUUAUUACUCUUAUUGUCUCCCUUUCUAGAAAGUAAGCUCCUUGAAGGUAGGGUUCCAGAUUGCCUUUUGGGUUUUGUCCCCACUCAUACUUAAAGUGCCUAGCAUGUUAGGUGCUAAGUAAAUACUUGUUGGACGAAUGAGUGUCCAUUAUUUCCACUUGGGUGUUCCAUAGGCAUCUCAUAUUCCAUCCUCCACUGUCAUCAGUCAUCUAUUCAGGUAUUUAUACCAGAAAUAUAAUUGUGUUCUUUCACAAUCAUGUUCACACAAUUUAUUCUUUGAAUACAUAUUUUGAGCAUCUGCUACAGACCAGGCAAAAUUUCUAGACACUGGGGUUACAACAAUAAGCAAAACAAAAAUCCCUGCCCAUGACUAUCCAGGGAAUCUUAUCUUGGGGGAGAUAGAUUAAUAAGGACAUCUAUCAGGUGGUGCUGAGGAAAAAUAAAAAUAAAGCAGGAUAAGAGGGAUAGGUGGUCAAGAUGGGCAUCUCUGACAAGACUUGGACAAAGACCUGAGGCAAGUGAGGGGGCAAUUCGUGUGAUCCUAGUCAGAUGUAAUAGCAAGUACGAAUGUCCAAAAGUGCAAAAUAGCGAAAGCAUGAGCAAGGGACAGGAAAAAACAAAACAAAACAAAAAACCAUGCUGCCUUUUUCUCAGUGUUUUGUUUUUUUCAAGUUUACUAGUUUGUUCUCUUUUCUUUUGUACCUUACCUGCUGUUAACCCUCCACACUAUUUUUUCAUUCUACACAAUGUACUUUUCAUCUCUAGUUCAGUUUGGGUAUUGUUUUUUUUUCUAUCUUCUAAGUCUAGAUAACUUUUUGAGCAUAUGGAAUACAGUUAUUCUAUUUUAAUGUUCUCUGCUAAUUAUAGCAU